rnacentral:lncRNA from 1 species
UGCUUUUUUAAUACCAAUAGCUUGAGGAGUGAUAAAUCACGAUUUUCCCGAGUGAGUUAUAGUGAUGAGCCUCUGAGUAUCAUUCCCUAGAUAAGGCUUAAUUAUUUGCUCAUUCACUACUAACGGUUUUUGUGUGGCUGGGUCUAUAAGUUCAAUAACAUCAUGAGGCAUGAUCUCCUUGAUUAUAAAAGACCUGACCACUUUCCCAAAAAAGUUGCAACC